ensembl:snRNA U6 U6 spliceosomal RNA
UUGCUUGCUUUGGCAGCAUAUUCACUAAAAUUGGAAUAAUACAGAAAAGAUAAGCAUGGUCCCUGCAUAAGGAUGACACACAAAUUCAUGAAAAUUCUUAUUUUUCC